CCUACGGGAGGCUGCAGUGGGGAAUAUUGGGCAAUGGAGGAAACUCUGACCCAGCAACGCCGCGUGAAUGAUGAAGGUCUUCGGAUUGUAAAGUUCUUUUCUAAGGGAAGAAGAAAGUGACGGUACCUCAGGAAUAAGCCUCGGCUAACUACGUGCCAGCAGCCGCGGUAAUACGUAGGAGGCGAGCGUUAUCCGGAAUGACUGGGCGUAAGGGGUGCGUAGGUGGUUUGGCAAGUUAGUAGCGUAACUCCAAGGCUCAACCUUGGAACUACUACUAAAACUGUUGGACUUGAGUGCAGGGGGGGCAAGCGGAAUUCCUAGUGUAGCGGUGGAAUGCGUAGAUAUUAGGAGGAACACCAGUGGCGAAGGCGGGUUGCUAGACUGUAACUGACACUGAGGCACGAAAGCGUGGGGAGCAAACAGGAUUAGAUACCCUGGUAGUC
rnacentral:rRNA from 1 species